CCUACGGGUGACAGCAGUGGGGAAUAUUGGACAAUGGGGGGAACCCUGAUCCAGCGACGCCGCGUGAGUGAAGAAGUAUUUCGGUAUGUAAAGCUCUAUCAGCAGGGAAGAAAGAAAUGACGGUACCUGACUAAGAAGCCCCGGCUAACUACGUGCCAGCAGCCGCGGUAAUACGUAGGGGGCAAGCGUUAUCCGGAUUUACUGGGUGUAAAGGGAGCGUAGACGGCAGUGCAAGUCUGGAGUGAAAGGCGGGGGCUCAACCCCCGGACUGCUCUGGAAACUGUACGGCUGGAGUGCAGGAGAGGUAAGUGGAAUUCCUAGUGUAGCGGUGAAAUGCGUAGAUAUUAGGAGGAACACCAGUGGCGAAGGCGGCUUACUGGACUGUAACUGACGUUGAGGCUCGAAAGCGUGGGGAGCAAACAGGAUUAGAUACCCGAGUAGUC
rnacentral:rRNA from 1 species